GAUGCGGCUGAAGUUGUGCAGGGUCCGGUUCCAGCGGAGCUGCGCCGCCGCCUCCGACGGGCUCUCGAGGGCCGAGAAGACGGUGGCGCCGGCGCUCAGCUGGGAUCCAGUCCUCAGCAUGUUCCCAGAAGUACUUGCCUUGCUGCAGCAGAGCGUGGUGAAGAGUGGAGGAGGAAUGUCUGUCUGGGAGCCCGGAAUCCUGAAUCUCGUGAUGCUACUGAGACAACAAUGAUGGGAAUGAGUCCUCCUUACAUUUCAUGUCCCUUCCUGCAUUUGACAGACCCUGGGGCUACAGUUCCUAGAAAUCUCUCCAGCCAGUGGCAUUGAAAUGAAACCUGCUAAGCUGACACUCACUCCAUCAGGAUGAGGCUUUACAGAAGUUCAGGACAGGCAGCCUUUGAUCACAGCACUGAAGAAAAUAUUGGCAAUCCCUUUGACCUGCCAGAUUUGUUUUCUAGAAUGAGAAGCUUCAGAGAGCGAUCCUUGCUGAUUACACCUGUCAGUUAUCAACAGACAGGUCAAAAUGUCCCUUCCUCCCUGGAUUUGUCCCUCUUCUUUUUUUCAGGUGCGUGCUGGCUGAUGGUCCUCUGAGACCAUUUACCCUGCUAAGCUUUUCCUAAGCAGGUUCCACUUGUGACUAGGCAACUUCAUACAAUUUGGUUUGUU